CAGCAGUAUGAGACCUAUCCCUUUUGGCCUUUUAUUUCACAGGACAUCCAGCACAUUAUUCCCGAAUCUGUUCUUAACACUGCCAAGCCCAUUGUCCCCAAGAUUGCUGAAGAAACCAAAGUGUGGUGAGACAUUAAUUCAACCCUCAGAAACUCCACAAUUACAACACUCGAUGUGACUGGAACCUCUUCACUUCUCUCCAUUCAUCAUAUGGAUUCAUUAUCUUAUCCAAGGCUUAAUUGCUGUUGUAGAAUAGGAAACCACCGUAGAAAGGGCAAUCGCUCUCUUGGGUUGUCUACUGCAUAUAGGAUAGCAUAGCAUUCUUCCUUAAGCUUACCUUUCCUAGGAAGAGUCUGUCUAAAUUCCAGUUGCAUCAUGUCAGUAGGGAAAACACC